UACGUAGGGGGCAAGCGUUGUCCGGAAUCAUUGGGCGUAAAGAGCGUGUAGGCGGCCCGAUAAGUCCGCUGUGAAAGUCCAGGGCUCAACCCUGGGAUGCCGGUGGAUACUGUCGGGCUAGAGUCCGGAAGAGGAGUGUGGAAUUCCUGGUGUAGCGGUGAAAUGCGCAGAUAUCAGGAGGAACACCAAUGGCGAAGGCAGCACUCUGGGACGUGACUGACGCUGAGACGCGAAAGCGUGGGGAGCAAACAGG
rnacentral:rRNA from 1 species